UGAGAGCUCCUGAGGCGUGGCGAAGACAGCUCUCUCUGUGACCUAAGGACUCCGAAGAUCAUCAGUUUCUGCCAGCAGAAAAAGGUAGAAACGGACUCGCAGAAGGGGUUGUCCUUGGCCCACAGACGCACACAAGGAAGUUUCACGUCAGGAUUUGAAGCCAAUCACUAUGACUCUAAAGGUUUUUUUGGAGAUGGAGACUGAGGACUAGCAAAAUUCAGACCUGUCCAGAGUCAGCCUACAAAUUUAAAUCAGAACUGGGGAAAAGAAAAGAAAACCCUCACUGUUUCCAAGCUGUUUUUGCUAAAAACAGCUUUGGUAUAAUAGUUUGUUGCUUUGUGCCAAGCAACCGAUAUACCCAGGUAAACAAACUUAUAAAGGUGGAUGAUGUGAAGACAUAGUCAAGUAUCACCAAGACAAGACUUGAGGACAGAAAUAGACAAGAGGACUCUGUGUUUUCCAGUUCAAAAGUACUAUGAUCUUAUGAUCCUAGGCAAAUAAAAGAAAAGGAAAAGCUCUCUGCAGUGUGGGGAUGUGGGAGGCACUGUAUGUGUAUACGAGCGCUAGUGAGUGCUCAGGCAGCCUGCAUGCUUUUGGAGUCUACAUUGACCAAGUAGCUUUUCUGUGAAAUUCCCUGGACUAAACAAUUUCACUACUAGAAACAUGUUGCAGUAUUCAUACGUAUCAUACAGCAACACAUGUUAACCAACACAGUUAUUGAAUGUAGAAAUUUAAGUA